UACGAAGGGUGCAAGCGUUACUCGGAAUUACUGGGCGUAAAGCGUGCGUAGGCGGUUUGUUAAGUCUGUCGUGAAAGCCCCGGGCCCAACCUGGGAAUGGCGAUGGAAACUGGCGAGCUAGAGUACGGUAGAGGAGAGUGGAAUUCCCGGUGUAGCAGUGAAAUGCGUAGAGAUCGGGAGGAACAUCAGUUGCGAAGGCGGCUCUCUGGACCAGUACUGACGCUGAGGCACGAAAGCGUGGGGAGCAAACAGG
rnacentral:rRNA from 1 species